rnacentral:tRNA from 1 species
UAUUGAUAGCUAAGUUCGGUUUAAAGCAGCCGCUUGCUAAGCGGUGGGGGCGCUUCUAGCGCCCCCACAGGUUCAAAUCCUGUUCAAUACAA